UCCUCUGUUUUGCACUACUUGCCCGCACCGUGUCUUCUCUUUCGUGUUUUCUCUGCAUACCAUCUUGGCGUUUCGCUGUGUCUUACCCUUUUGCUCGUGUUGGGUUUCGGUCGUUUCUGUACUCGUUGGUCCUGGUUUUUUUUUUUGAAUCGCGAUCUCUGUUUCUUGAACUCGAGUGCUGUGUUUUUGUGGAUCGCGGCGUACUUGUGGGCUGUAGUAUGGUUAUUCGAGUUUUUGAUUCCUGAUAUUUGCAUUCGUUUUUCCGUGCAAAUCCGCUCGGACAAAAGAAGGGUGUUCUUGUUCUAUUUGGUUCGGGUUGAUUUCUCCAUCUUCUCGAAGUUCCUGAUCUUGGGCAUGUUGUUUUGUUAUAUUUGCACUCUAAGCUCCUUUUGUUCAUGAAUAUGGCUUCUUGUGUCUUAAAAUGCAUUAGUUUUGUGUUCUUUGGACCUUUUUCCCACUGGAUUUGAAAAGGGAGAAUCAUUUUUUGCUUCGGUGUUGCCCUUGAUUGGCUGACUGUUUGUUCUUUUAGCCGCCAGAACAGAGCAAUCCUUGGGGUUGCUCUGCUCAUGGGGUUUCCUCUGUGACCUCUCUCUUUUUUCCCCUUUUAAACGGAUUUGUGCCGAAA